AUCCAGUUGAUGAGUCCCGAAUAGGACGAAUUACGCAUCUUGGAU
rnacentral:hammerhead_ribozyme from 1 species